GACUAGCUACCGUUUACUACUCAAAGCAGAAGGACUACUCUUACUGUGCAGUGCUGAGCCUCUUACACCCUUAUAUGAAAUGCAAAGGGGGUGUGACAUCACCUGCUUGUCUCCUCCUUUCUUUCCUUAGAGUGGAGAACAGCAAAAUCAGAAAGGUCUUUUGGAUUGAGGGAGCAGAACUGGAACGCAGGAUGCCUGCUGAUCGGGAAGUGCGCUGAGAUUUCUCCUACAGACUUAGAUUCUAAUUUCAUUUGUAAUUUGGAAUGGCUCCCAGUGCUCUGCAAGGCCUGUCUAAAUGACUAGAAGAUACUGAAAUAAAAAAGAAUAAUUAACAUAUAAGUGGAAGAAUGGAGUAAACAUGACUGUGGAUGUGUUCUUAGAGGAAGCUGGGUGGUCGUCUUCAAAAGAAGUUGCCAGAAAGCAAAGAGAAAUAGUUUGGAUUGAGAGGAACAGUCAGCUCUGUCCACUUGCUGGCAGCACUGCCAGCAUCACAGGAAUGUGGAUGUCAACAUUUCGCCUUUCUUCUGCAAGCACUCCUGUUUUUAAGUAUCUUCAGAAUAAAGGUUUCUAGAUUUGGCAUUACCUGUUUUUGAUUCUAUAUGAGAGGCCUUAUACAAAAAUUUUCAAAUAGACAAUAAUUUGAAUGAACUGCUGUUUGAAUGUACUUGUCAGCUAGCACGUGACUCUUGAAUACAUUUGGUAUCUAGAUUCUGGUCUCUGUUUUGUUGAUCCUAUAACGUUUGAGUCAAAUAUGAAGAUCAGUAAAAAGAAAUUCAG
ensembl:lncRNA